rnacentral:rRNA from 3 species
UGGGGAAUAUUGGACAAUGGGCGAAAGCCUGAUCCAGCCAUGCCGCGUGUGUGAAGAAGGUCUUCGGAUUGUAAAGCACUUUAAGUUGGGAGGAAGGGCAGUAAGCUAAUACCUUGCUGUUUUGACGUUACCGACAGAAUAAGCACCGGCUAACUCUGUGCCAGCAGCCGCGGUAAUACAGAGGGUGCAAGCGUUAAUCGGAAUUACUGGGCGUAAAGCGCGCGUAGGUGGUUUGUUAAGUUGGAUGUGAAAGCCCCGGGCUCAACCUGGGAACUGCAUCCAAAACUGGCAGGCUAGAGUACGGUAGAGGGUGGUGGAAUUUCCUGUGUAGCGGUGAAAUGCGUAGAUAUAGGAAGGAACACCAGUGGCGAAGGCGACCACCUGGACUGAUACUGACACUGAGGUGCGAAAGCGUGGGGAGCAAACAGG